rnacentral:rRNA from 1 species
AGUGAACGCUGGCGGUAGGCCUAACACAUGCAAGUCGAACGGCAGCACAGUAAGAGCUUGCUCUUACGGGUGGCGAGUGGCGGACGGGUGAGGAAUACAUCGGAAUCUACUUUUUCGUGGGGGAUAACGUAGGGAAACUUACGCUAAUACCGCAUACGACCUACGGGUGAAAGCAGGGGAUCUUCGGACCUUGCGCGAUUGAAUGAGCCGAUGUCGGAUUAGCUAGUUGGCGGGGUAAAGGCCCACCAAGUCGACGAUCCGUAGCUGGUCUGAGAGGAUGAUCAGCCACACUGGAACUGAGACACGGUCCAGACUCCUACGGGAGGCAGCAGUGGGGAAUAUUGGACAAUGGGCGCAAGCCUGAUCCAGCCAUACCGCGUGGGUGAAGAAGGCCUUCGGGUUGUAAAGCCCUUUUGUUGGGAAAGAAAAGCAGCAGGUUAAUACCCCGCUGUUCUGACGGUACCCAAAGAAUAAGCACCGGCUAACUUCGUG